rnacentral:lncRNA from 1 species
GGCGGGCACACGCGUGUGCAAGCGAGCGCACCCGGGGCGGGGGGGGGCGGCGGGUGGGCGGCAGGACCCGGGGGAGCCCCGCCGGGGCGAGGCGCCGGUUCCGCGGCGCGGCCGCUAGGGGGCGCCGCAGGGCCGGGCCCGGCGCGGCCGCCCGCUCCGCCCGGCGCCGCCGGCGUUUCCUGGGGCGACGGCGGGAGAGACCCCGGGAGAGCCCGGCCCGGCCCGCCCCGCCGGGGCCGCCAGGUGCGGCAGCGGCCGGCGGGGACGAGCGGGGCCGGCGCAGGAGCGGUGGGCCCGGCGCCGCGCUCGGGGCGGGGAGACUCCCGGCGCGGUGCCGGGCCCGCCCGUCCCUCGCCCGCAGCUCGGCCCUCGGCGAGCCGGGCUGGGGCCGGGCGGGAGCGGGGCCCGGUGCGGGGCAGGUCGGAGCAGCACCGGCGUGAACGGCAAUCCCUUCCCCCGCAGGCGCGGGGAGGCCCGGAGCGGGGCCCCGAGAGCCCCGCGGCGCGAUGCAGGACGGCUACGAGCCGGUCGUCUCCCCGGGUAAGGACCCUGCGGCGGUGGCACCGGCCGGGCUUUGGCCCCCCGCAGCCCUGCCUUGUCCGGCUGGAGCUCCUCGAGCAAAAGGCCCCGUUGAGCCUCUGCGCUUUUGGACCGCGGCGGUGACCCUGACAUCCCUUCUCGGGAUUUCGGGCUGGGCUGGGGUGUAAACCCCCCUCCUUGUCACUGCGACCCUCAGUCCUGCAGGGACGGUGUCACGGGUAGGCGUCACCUCUGGGGAGCCAGGACGAGAUGCUCAGAGAAAUGUACCCGUAGCUGGGGAUCGUCUCGGGGUUUUGCGGGGACCGCUGCUGGCUCGAGGCGGGGGCUGAUCUCGCACUGGAGCAGAGGAGGAGGCUUCUGUGGAGCGGAAGAGAACGCCAUCAGGUGGCCUCGGAUAGCUGCCCUGGCUGAGCCCCCCAGGCGCCAAAGUUUGCUGCAUGAUGCAGAACUAGAGUCUCCCCAAGGGCAUCUGGAGCUGCCGCACGGUCUGGCAACAACCCCCUCGUGCCUGGGGCUGUCUUUGCCCGAUUUUCAGAAGCAGCUGAAGGCCGUCCUGCAAACCAUUGGCCGGAGCCAGGUGGAGAAGAUGCUGCAGGAGCUGAUGGAGGAGCAGAAGCAGGAAGGGAGAGUCCGGCGGUGCCGGAGGGCUGUGAAGGGCCCCAGAGGCAGAGGUAAGAGCUGGCAGAGCAGAGAUGCCCCGGAGCAGCUGGCAUGGCAGCAGACUGCUGUAGGUUUCCUCUCGGCCCUCCUUUCCCCUAAGCAGUGUGUUCCUCUCUCUCUGUUC